UAAACGACUCUCGGCAAUGGAUAUCUGUGCUCUCGCAUCGAUGAAGGACUUAACGAAAUGCGAUACUUUGUGUGAAUUGCAAAAUCAUGUGAACCAUCGAGUCUUUGAAUGCAAGUUGCGCCCGAAGCCAUUAGGCCGAGGGCACGUCUGCCUGGGCGCCACAC
rnacentral:rRNA from 1 species